GCCAGUUUUUCUCAGUGGUUAGAGUGUUGGCCUGUGGACCCAAGGGACACAGGUUUGAUUCCUGCUCAAAGGCA
rfam:Myotis lucifugus cont2.13320, whole genome shotgun sequence.